rnacentral:rRNA from 1 species
UACCGGUGAAGAUGCCGGUUACCUGUGGUUAGACGAAAAGACCCCGGAAGCUUCACUGCAGCUUGAUAUUGAGCACAACGCGCUGAUGCGUAGCAUAGGCGGGAGGAUAUGAAGGUUUGAUUCCGGUCGGACUGGAUCCGCCAGUGAAAUACCGCUCUUGAGCGUGUUGCGUUCUCACCUUUGCCGCCAAACGGCAAAGGGACAGUGUCUGGUGGGCAGUUUGUGUGGGGCACAACUCUCCCAAAAGGUAAUGGAGAGGUUUAUAAGGUUGGCUAGGCGCCGAUGGAAACGGCGUUGGUCGUGUAAAGGCAUAAGCCAGCCUGACUGCAAGACGGGUAUGUCGCGCAGGUGCGAAAGCAGAACUUAGUGAACCGAUGGUAAUGUCUCGCUGCCGAUGUUGCAUGAUGUUGAAAGCAUGUUCCCGAUCCGUCCGGUGUGACAGAUGUCUCAUCGGGGACGGGGUGAAGGGCAUCGCGCUCAGCAACGUCGAGCAAUACCGGCAGCGAGACGCUUGCUAGAACAAGGCCAAAGAUUAACAGAUAAAAGCUACUCCGGGGAUAACAGGCUAGUUGCGUCCAAGCGUCCACAGCGACGACGCAGUUCGGCACCUCGAUGUCGGCUCACCUUAGCGCGGGGGUGGAGAAGCUCCCAAGCGUUUGGCUGUUCGCCAAUUAAAAAGGUACGCGAGCUGGGUUCAGACCGUCGUGAGACAGGUCGGUCUCCUAUCUACCACAGGCGCAUGAUACUUGAGAGUGGGUCGUCCCUAGUACGAGAGGACCGGGAUGAACGAACCUCUGGUCUGCCGGCUGUCCUGCCAAGGGCACCGCCGGGUAGCUAUGUUCGGAAGCGAUAAGCGCUGAAAGCAUCUAAGCGCGAAGCGCGCCUCAAGAUAAGGUAUCGUAGAUCCCUCGGAGAUGACGAGGUUGAUAGGCCGCAGGUGGAAGCCGAGCAAUCGGUUAAGCCGAGCGGUACUAAUAGAUCGUUC